rnacentral:rRNA from 1 species
UACAGAGGGUGCAAGCGUUAAUCGGAAUUACUGGGCGUAAAGCGUGCGUAGUCGGUUAUUUAAGUCGGAUGUGAAAUCCCCGGGCUCAACCUGGGAAUUGCAUUCGAUACUGGAUAGCUAGAGUUCGGCAGAGGGAAGCGGAAUUUCUGGUGUAGCGGUGAAAUGCGUAGAUAUCAGGAGGAACACCGGUGGCGAAGGCGGGUCUCUGGGCCGAUACUGACGCUGAGGAGCGAAAGCGUGGGGAGCGAACAGG